rnacentral:lncRNA from 1 species
UAUAAAAUAAUAGAAAGAUAUGUUCUAUAUGUAAUUGAUGAAAUUAAUGAUAAAAAAUAGUUUGGAUUAUAAAGAAAACAUUUUUAAAUUAACUGCUAUUUUAAACGUUAGUUACGAUAUACUAAAUAACAUAUCGGUUAAAAUAUAUAAAGAAUACAUAAAAGAUCAAAAGUUAAACAGUAUAAACUCUUUAGAUGAUUUUUUCCAAUUUUUGUUUAACAUGAGUAAAGAAAAACAAAAAGAAAUUGUAUUGGCACAUUUAGAAAAACAAAUACAGGAGUAUUUAAAAAGUAAUAUAGAGUACCAGGAUAAAAUGCAAAAAGUACAUGAUGUCAUUUUUUUUAUAAAUAAUAAUUUACAUAUUCAGAAAAAUGUGUUUAAUAUAUCAUACAUAAGUUCUGAAACAGUUUAUGAGUUUUUAACAUCUUGUAUUAAUGACUAUUUGAAUAAUAAUAAAAAUAAACUAUCCUUUAUGGAGGACCAUAACAAGUAUAUAGUGGAUUUAAGAAAAUAUAUAGACAAAAUUAUGAUUAUGAUAAAAGGAAAAGAAGAAAAUCAUCACCUUCAACAUAUUUUUAACAUUUUGAAAAGAGACAUAAUAAAAAAGGCUAUCUACUUUUUGGACAAAUUUAAAUAUGAUGUGUGCGUAGAAGAAAUUUACAACUUAAUUAAGCUUCAAAUGGUUGAUGAAAAAAAUAAUUUCUCCGAUAUAGAUAUUUAUAAAAGAAAAAAAUUGAUCAACAUUUUCUCAUACCAAGAUAUUAGCGAUGAAAAAAAGAUGCUUUACAUGGAUAUUCUGAAUAAAGCCUUGUUGUAA